UAGGCUGGUCCUUUAGAGUUCCAGUUCCCAACUUGGCAGGUUCAUCCGUUGAGGACCAACUCAAAGGUAAAGACGUGAGCAUUUGGAUUCAUUGGUUUCCCAUACCGUGUUCAUUUCUUGUUGCAAGUGUACAUGGCGAUUGAUCCAUCAGCGUGAUUGCUCCAUCCUUGUUGGCAUAAAGCGACUAUUUUUCCUUACCCUUUUUU
rnacentral:lncRNA from 1 species